rnacentral:rRNA from 1 species
AUUGAACGCUGGCGGCAUGCCUUACACAUGCAAGUCGAACGGCAGCACGGAGCUUGCUCUGGUGGCGAGUGGCGAACGGGUGAGUAAUAUAUCGGAACGUACCCAAGAGUGGGGGAUAACGUAGCGAAAGUUACGCUAAUACCGCAUACGAUCUAAGGAUGAAAGCAGGGGACCUUCGGGCCUUGUGCUCCUGGAGCGGCCGAUAUCUGAUUAGCUAGUUGGUGAGGUAAAGGCUCACCAAGGCAUCGAUCAGUAGCUGGUCUGAGAGGACGACCAGCCACACUGGAACUGAGACACGGUCCAGACUCCUACGGGAGGCAGCAGUGGGGAGUUUUGGACAAUGGGGGCAACCCUGAUCCAGCAAUGCCGCGUGAGUGAAGAAGGCCUUCGGGUUGUAAAGCUCUUUUGUCAGGGAAGAAACGGUUUUGGCUAAUAUCCAGAGCUAAUGACGGUACCUGAAGAAUAAGCACCGGCUAACUACGUGCCAGCCGCCGCAGUAAAAC